rnacentral:rRNA from 1 species
UGAACGCUGGCGGCAGGCCUAACACAUGCAAGUCGAACGGUAACAGGAAGCAGCUUGCUGCUUCGCUGACGAGUGGCGGACGGGUGAGUAAUGUCUGGGAAACUGCCCGAUGGAGGGGGAUAACUACUGGAAACGGUAGCUAAUACCGCAUAAUGUCGCAAGACCAAAGAGGGGGACCUUCGGGCCUCUUGCCAUCGGAUGUGCCCAGAUGGGAUUAGCUUGUUGGUGAGGUAACGGCUCACCAAGGCGACGAUCCCUAGCUGGUCUGAGAGGAUGACCAGCCACACUGGAACUGAGACACGGUCCAGACUCCUACGGGAGGCAGCAGUGGGGAAUAUUGCACAAUGGGCGCAAGCCUGAUGCAGCCAUGCCGCGUGUAUGAAGAAGGCCUUCGGGUUGUAAAGUACUUUCAGCGGGGAGGAAGGUGUUGUGGUUAAUAACCGCAGCAAUUGACGUUACCCGCAGAAGAAGCACCGGCUAACUCCGUGCCAGCCGCAGC